CUGCUACUGUAUGAACAAAUGUAAUUCCCAGUUUCCUACUCUAAGUGCUGUGGCAUGUAAAGGAAAAACUUCCUUAGCCUAUUGUAUGGAAACUUUCUGCUAUGUUUGUUAAAAAUUGUCUGUAGAAUAUUCCUAGUGAAAGAGGCAGUGAGCAUUCAGAAAAUGAGAAGAUGAGCUUUUAUUGAGUAUUUCCAUUGGCUGGUUUUUGGUGUGGUAAGUUCUCUGAAUUGGCUAGAGCUUAUGAACUUUUUUCUUGACAGAGCAAGGUAGUUCUUCAUAAAGACCUAUAAAUCUUCCAACUUUAAAAAGCCUUUUUAAAAUAAGAUGAUAAAAUUUUGUUAAACUAGGAUACAUCAUGUUUUAACUGUAUUUUCUUUUUUAAAUACAGACAAUUAGAUCACUCUAAAGUCUUUCAGUACUGCCAUAACUCUUCCUUGCCUGCAGUGUCUUGGCAAGCAGGGACUUAUUUUCAGGUUUGGUUUUGGUCACCUUCCUGAUUUAAAUUGUAGCAAAGUGCUCCUGUGGUUCCCCAGAAAAGUCAAAUAGGUGUAACACUGGCUCUUUGAAUGUCCCAAUUAUGUAUACCAUUAGAAGGAGUUUGAAGAGGUCCUUCUUUUUUGUCCAAGUUUUAUGUCUGUGUGAUUUCUGAAGAUACUUUACAGGUUCACUUUAUUUUUCUUCUUUUCUAACUAGCCCUGAUGUUGUUUUGCCUAGGGGAUGUGAAAGGAAAUGUUGCAGCAAAAGUGUCUGUUGCCCAAUAGCUAGAUCACUUUUUUUCCUGAAGAAUAACAUGCCGAACUAUUCAUAGGAGGACUAAGGCUAGGAAGCCAGUUAGGUCUUAUUUCAGUCCUCUGGCUAAUCCAAGCACAUUUCUGUUACUAUAUUACCUUCAGUUUUCUGGUAAAAGCUAAUGGUUGCAGUGAGAAAAUGCAGUUCAUGUUCUAGGAAGAUGAUUAUUAAACAAGUCCUUAAAAAUACUAGCUUGUUUGCUGUUACUCUCUAAAAAUCUCUAUCAACUGUUACUGUUAAAUUCAGCUGUCCCCUUCAUUUAGGAAACUUACAUACGCUAUGAAGUAGGUUGGUGGUCUGUUUAAAAAUAUAUAGCAUUGUUUUGUCAGUUUUGAACUAUGGUCAUACUGCUGUCUAAGAGGAGAACGUUCUGUUUAGAAAACAGCUAAAGACCUGCCUUUGGACCACACAUGAUGCACAAAUACUGGCAAAUGCUCUUUUGUCAGUUAAUGUGGGAAGCUUUGUUAAGAGAAAACGCAAACUAAAGUAUGUGGAUGCUGGUGUAAAAUGCCGGACUGCUUGCUGUCAGGGGAAGCUCUGUAGAGGUACAGGAUAAAUUCACAUGUACAUGCAGUAGUUGCUAUUUUAAGGUGUUUCCAGGCGUGUGUGCGUGCAUGUGUCUUCUACACUUCUGGUAAAGUGUUAACAUGCAAGCUUCAGAAAGCAAUUUAGGUAAUUACUGUAAGCAGCUGUUUACUGAACAGAAGUCUGAAGUAUAUCAUUUGUAACCUGGGUGGUCCA